ACUCGUUAGCAAAUUAAUGAUCUGAGAAGGACCUUCUCAAGAAUGGAUAUAAAACUAUAGAAAUACAAAUAAAAUGCUAUACAGAACGUUGACGUUGAUGAUCUUCAAGUUAUUCUUCCCAUCACAGACUCAACCAAAACUAUAAGACUUGACAUCGACCUUAUCAUCACCAGUCUUGAGAGAACUAAUAGGCCUCCAAUUAAAGAAGAAGAAAAACUAUACAUGCACGGUAUGCUUCGGAAAUUUCAACAAUGGAACCUGUCUAUGCUUUCUUACUUACUGUCAUACUUUCCAUUGCCGCUGCAUUGACCAAUGUAUGUCCCAUAUGUAGGAAACAUUAUCUAUAAAUCAGCAUUAUUACAAUUUAUAAGUGAUUUCUUAUGUUCCAAUUUUCCGUUUCAUUUGCAUACUAUUUUUGAUUUUUGUUUUAAUUUUUAAACAAAAAAUAUAAAUGUUUUUCCUCAUUCUCUGAUGUGCUCCAUCACCAGAAUUAGUUUCUCACCAAAAAUCAAAUAACACAUAUACAACUGAGUUAUGUUUGGUUGCACACCUUUAAAUUCAAAUUAUUCUCUAAAAUAAAAUUUCAAAUGCUGUUCCUUUUAUAUAUUGUUCACAUUGUACUUAACAGUAUAUGUAUGUUGUUUAAAGAAAACAUAUAUUUUACUACUUAAACCAUAAAGCAUAUUUGAUAACCACUACAAAUAGAUAAAAAAAAUAUCAUUCUCUUUUAAUAUAUUUUCAUCUUCAUUUGAAAAAAAAAUCUUUACUACGACCAUAUAUAAAUUAUAACUUUUUAACAAUAAAAUAUAUGAACCCGGCGCGUAGCGCCGGAAAACCACUAAUCUAUAAUAAUAAAGUCAGCUCAUGAUAUCUCCUCAUGCUUCCACGUCCUCAAGGAGAGAGGUGAUUUUCUUGACACGUGGCAUCUCUCUCUUUCCUCAACUCAAUCCUACGAAACCAAAAUAUCUGGGCUUAACGAACUUCCUUUCUGAUAAUUUUCUAUUUGGACUCGGCAUUUUCUCUGUGUUAUUUUACUAGGCAUGUCUUCAAAUCAAACGAAGCCCAUAUGUAGAGUCUGAGUGUUUAUUAUUUUUGUAAACUCAGCCGCAUCAAACAGCCCUAAUCGUCGUCUAAGUUCUUUAUCUCUUCGUAUCACCGGAGAACAAAAACUAGAAACGUUACGGAAUCAGUAUGGAUCGAAGUGUCAUCUUUAAGGCGCUCUUAGCCUCUUAUUUAUAAUAGCUCCCCACGAUUUAUCAUUGAAUGCAUCUCCAAUGACUUCCUCACUUUAGAUCCUGGACUUUAAAAAUGUAUGUUCUAUCCCCUGAAAAUCAUCAGUUUAUUGUGAUAUGAUGCGUCCUUCCACAUUCUCCACUUCCACUCCACCCGCUUUGGAUUUGAGACGGAGUAUGGAUUGGGAGAGUGAAGAACAUCUUUCGAGAGAAAGCAUUACAUGAAUUUCCUUCCGCUGAGAAAAUCUGGGGUCGACCAAAAGAUGGUUCUCUGACACAUUGAAAAGCUGACAAAUCAAAGUAAGCUGGUUAGAAGUUUCUCCAUCGAGUUUCAAGCUCUCAGUGGAUUGGAUUUCUGCAGAGACAAUAAAAGACUCCAGCGCCGGAUUGUAGUCCGCACAUACCAAUUGGAGACGAUUAAUGGAAGCACUUAAAGAACCAUACCAAACAUCAAUGUGUAUUAUCAAACAGGUAUUGGAGCAGCAGCUCCGAAGCUGGUCAUCAGUGAAGAAGAAUAUGAUCGAAUCAAACAAGCCUUAUUCAUUCACCUAAGAAACUGUUAACAAAGGAGGCCGUAACAGGUAAUGAUCCAAGAGAUCAGCACUAGAGAAAACGAUGAGAAUGCAUAUCGUAACAUCUCCAAUAUGGAGAAGAUCCACGGCAAAGAAAUAGAGAAACCAGUCGUGAGUCACGUAGUUGCUCUAUGCAGUGGUGGUGUCGGUGUUGAUGCUACUGCCUUGUCUCUUCAGAAAAGCAUGAACCCAAUUACAGUGAUAAUUCAAUUGUGCAAAAUGCUUUUGGCACGUUGGAUUUUAGCUUAUUUCGUGGUGACAUUUGCUGAAGAUGUGAAAACACAGCAAGACUUGUCAAAAAGAAGUGAGAGGACAUAUCAAAGUAGUAAGUGAAGCUAAAUGUGAUCACUACCAAAAAUAUUAGGCACCUUCUCCUUCCCCUUUGGGUUCAUUGAUGUAAACCAAAAAUAUACCAUUAGUAUAUUACUAUAAAUUAUUUAUAAAAAUAAUUUUUUUCUU